UAAUAACUGCUUGCGCAGAAAUAAGCAAUUUUUUAAUGACAAAGGCAGCCACUGAAGAAAUGUUUUUUCAGCAGCAUCCCACAAAUAAAUUAGUGUACUUUAAAAUUCGGUUACAACAGUUAACACGUACAGGUUCGAUCAUCUUUUCAAAUUCCAUCAUCUCUCAAAUUUCAUCAAGCUAUCUUACAUUCCCCUAUGGCAUCAACCAUAAAGACAAUCAGGAAGGCGGAAGCCAGUAAAUCUGGCUGGGAAAAACAAUGGACCGACUACCGGGUUGACAUUCCUUGGAAAGAUUAAUCCGGGGCCGUUACGGUUUCUUAGAUCCGACUGCCGUGGGAACGGAACAAUAUUCACAAACAAUAAUUC